rnacentral:lncRNA from 1 species
UGGCGUUUAGUAAUUAACCCAAAGAGCUUUGAAGAAAGAUGGGAGAUGGUGGCCCAAUUUGAAUUUGCAUUGAAUUGAAUUUGCAGUUUGAAAUGUUCAAAAGCGCCCAGUGGAAAAGGAGGUGGUGAACCAUGUUAAAUGUUCUGUAGUUCUGAUGUACGCACUAGAAGUUCUGAAUGUCUAUCAGUGUUCUCUUGCUAUCAUUUAAUCUUUGUAUGUGUGAUGUUCUUUGCAGAGCACUCGUGUUUGGCUCAUGAAAUUGAUCUGGUCAGUACACGGUAAUACAGAGGAAAAAUAGAUCAUUAUUUAAAUAUACCUAUUAAGUAGUUUUAAACUUUCACCAUUUGUUAGGUCUCAUCAAAUUUCAGUGCUCCCUUGGGGCUUUCGGAGCAUGGCUCUGUUUUCAUGAAUUCACUUUUAAAAAGAAAAAAAGAGAAAGAAAUCUGUAAUAUCAGAGAUUAGUGUGCUGUAUUGGGUUCAUUUUGUGAGCCAGGCCGUUCUUACAUUUAACAAAGAAAUAAUGGAACCUUUUUAAACGAACAGUGCCGUUUACUCCCCUUAUUCAAUUUUGGAAAUAAAAUUAUUUGAAAACA